UACAGAGGCCUCGAGCGUUAGGCGGAAUCACUGGGCUUAAAGCGUGUGUAGGCGGACUUCUAAGUACCUUGUGGAAUCCCACGGCUCACCCGUGGAACUGCUUGGUAUACUGGUUGUCUUGAGCCUUCUAGGGGCGAGUGGAACAAAUGGUGGAGCGGUGAAAUGCGUAGAUAUCAUUUGGAACGCCAAUGGUGAAAACAACUCGCUGGGGAAGUGCUGACGCUGAGACACGAAAGCCAGGGGAGCGAACGGG
rnacentral:rRNA from 1 species